ACCAAUAGGAUUGCGCAAAAAACUUACCCUGUGUUAGAAGCAAGAUGGAUGCGCCCUUCUGCAAAGGUUGUUUUGAAACCAAUCGAAACGUUUCUAUUUACAUAUAUGGUAAAUUAUUUAGAGGAUACCCCAAUAUUUAAUGAAAGAAUGAACGAAGACGUUAUCUAUGUUCGCGACGAUAGUGUUAUGAGUUCUACAAUUUCGAAGUUUGUAAACAAUGCAGCAAAGGGUGCAGAGGGGCUGGUUGUUGUGCUCUGACACUGCUUUACCAGGGAGAUCGAGGCGAAGACUUCUGAGGACUGGACCUGUGCUGACCGUUCAGCCACAGAGUGAUUUAUGAUCCCUCCUCCAGGGUUAGCCACACUUCACUUCUUCUCGUUGUGAAUCCGUCUUUAUUUUUCUCCUUUUUUUUUUUCUCUCCUCUCAAGUAUCUCCACUUCCUUUUUAUCCUUUUCACCCUGCCCCCGCAUUUCUGUCUCGUCCCACUCAGAAUGUCAACUGACGACCAAUAUUCCUAAUGAGUUUGGAUCUCCACAGAAACGCUGACGAGCGGCCCUGUUAAUCAUCAUAUCUGUGGAUGCCUUGCCAUAAUGUGCUGAGAAAGGUGCAGAGUUUCCACAGAAAGCCUUGUGAAUCUGGAAAGGUCCGGAUGAAGAUACUAUAUUCAGACUGAUCGAGGAAAAAACACUGUGGUUGUAUCUCAAUUAUCUAUGCUGUCCUUCACUGAUCCCCAUGUGUCUAAAUGGAUCGGACCGAAUGUGCGAGUUUCACAAACAUGACCUGGAGGCAGAUCUUACCUGGAUGCGAUGAUCUGAGGGUAGAACUCCAGGAUUCUUUGUCUUGCGGGACCUUUUGUUUGAUGAACAACCAGACCAACAGGCAGGGGAUGACUGGAACAAUGCCACACAGGUGGUGACUGUGUGAAUGCUACUGGUACUAAAGCCGGAGGAAACAUCAAGACCUAACUGAGUGGGGAACCAGAGGAGAGAGAGCCAGGAUCGGCCACUGCUGUGUUACUAGAGGCUCCGGGGAGGGAAGAAAGGGCCUCAUAUGGAGGCUGGUUGGCCUCCAGUGAUUUGGUAAGGGGUAAUGAUAACGGGAGUUUAGCCGCGCCAGUUAUUUAACGCAGCCACAAAGUCCCCUUUAGGCAGGGUCAGCCCCUGUCAGCAUUAGUAGGUCAGGCUGACACUGUGCUAGUGUAGCUGGAUGUAGCCAGGCUGAACCAGGGUCAGUCUCUGUGUUCCACUAUGGCAUAGGGAGGGGCACGCUGAUCAGGUAGUAGUGCAGCCAAGACUUACCCCGUCCCCUUUGUUGGUGACACAAAGGCAGGUGGGUGGAUCGCCAGGAUUGUUUGUGUGGCAUAACAAUCAUGCUGUUGAACCAUCAUGCCCGGCAGGCAGGGUCGGCCCUACACAGUUGGUGGAGGGAAGGUUUUACCGCUGCUUCUGUGUCUAGUUCAACCUAAUAGCUGAGCUAUUUUAAGACAAAAGCACCGAUCACGCACACUCAACCACUGUCAGCUGGUGUCUCUCAGUUCUACAAAAAUAAGAAAAAGUGUAUAGCUGCCAUACAUGCUGUAUUGAGUUCCUACAUUUUGUAGAAUAUCUAAGGUUUAUGUAGUUUACCUGUACUGUCUUGUGUAUGCUAAUACAUACAGAUUUAGAGGACAGAAAACAGGUCAUUGUGUUUCUUCCGCUUUCUUUAACUCGUGCAUCUCCUCUCGUUGUUCUUGUUCUGCUACUUCUCUCUAAAAUGUGAUCAUGAGUACACCUCAACAACUGUGUGUAACUGUGUCAGAAGUGUGAUAAUUUGACCGGUCAAUUUUACAGUGUUUUCUAGACAACAAUGGUGAGAAUUGUAGUUUCGCGAAAUGGUUUUUCUGGGUGAAUGGACUCCUUUCUGGAACUUAACAAAAUGGUUUCCUGUAUAUUGUUCAUAGAACAUAGUUUUCACGUGUUAAAAUUUGUAAAAAUUGUAUAGGCAUCUUGAGCACAAAAGUGAAUACUAGACAAUGAGAUUUGUGAGUCACAUUUAUAAUUCAUACAGACCUUAUAUGCUGUCUUAUCAAUAGUGGUCUCGAUGCUGAGAGCUUCAGCAUGACGAAAGAAAAUGUUCAGGUGGCAUGUUAUUAGUCAUCCUGGAUCUGAACUGCACGUUAUUAGUCAUCCUGGAUCUGAACUCCCCUCCACCUACCGGAGGAGAAUUUUUGGAACGUGGUGACUGAGGUGGGAUGGGUAGGCGAUGAUCUAUCCAGCACGCCUCAUUUCUCUGGAGUCUUCAACCACCUAGAACGUAGCAGAGGGAGCCGUGGAACAAUGUGUUGCAGUUUCCUUCCGGAGCGGGCUGGCGCCGACCAGGGGGAGGCGAAGUGGACCGACUCUACCAUUGAUGUGGAGAGCUGGAUUGGACGUGACGGUUGCUUGUGUACCCCCUCUGUGAUCACUGCAGUGGUUUCUGUUCCUCCUUUACAGCGGCGCUGGACCCGGUUCAACGGUGGACCGCGAGAGGUUCUUGGCUCUCACAGAAUGGCGAGGAACGCUACGAGCACUUCCGUUCGCUCAUCCAUUUUAUCUGGCAACUCAUUUUCCACGCUUUCGGAUAAUUCAGUCAAAUACAUUAACAGUAGACUACGCUACAUUUAACAUCACACAGACCCAUUUUUUAAGCCUGCAUUUACUUUGCCCGAAAGGAAGAGGAGGAAUAAGAGCAAGAAAAAAAGGGAAAGAAUGCAGUGAAAUAGUGUCUCUCUAAUGUCAAGUGUGUCAAUUCCAUUUCAAUUGAAUUCAUUUAAAAAGUAGCCCACAUUCAAAUUCUUUCUUGGAGAAAAUAAUUGGUAUUGACCCCCAACUCUGACAGAGACAACCUCUCACCACACAGCUCUGUCGUCAUUGUCACCGCUCCUCAGUGAGGACUGUCAGUCAUUCAUCCAAAGCCAGAUAGCAUCUUAUCUGCAAUACAAUACAUGAUCCGGCCUCUGUUUGUCCUACGAAUUAGCAGGCUGUUUGUACUGACGCGUGAGCUACUGCAUCCUGGGUUCGCAGAGGACAAAUAGAAGCAACGGGGUCAUUACAGAGACAGCGCAAGCCGACAAACCAGCCACGUUUGUGAUCCAAAACUGUAGCUGCUCCCGACUGCACCUGCCUCACUGCCUGUGCAACGGAACCUGUAGAGCGAUCCGAUAUUGGAACCAACGCAGUUGUCCUCAAAGUGCUAGCCCACCCAACUGUUGUCCCUUUCACUCAUAUUUUGAGAUUUUGGUGUGUCCUCCCAUGUAAUGUUUAAUGCUAGAUAAGAGAGGAAACGGCCACAUAACAGUGAAACUGCCACAUCUGUUUGCGAUCUGUCAUCUGCACAUGGGUAACUGUCAAACGAAUGCAAGCAGCUUCUUAGAAAUUGCAGGAUUGAAGAACGCAGUAUAUGUGAGGCACAUUCAUUAGUUUUUAUUUCAGCUCAGUAACAAACACAAAAAUAAUGCUGUUUACUUCAAAAACAGACUACAUUUUUCAGUACUGUUCCCAUGCUGUCAUUCUGAUAUGAUGUUUAAAUUAACUAUUAAUGUGAGAUUAAUGUGUGUGUGUGUGUUUAUUUUUUAUAUACUGUGACUACAACAUGUAUUUGUAAUCAUUUAUUAAAAUUUAAUUUUGUGUUCUUUCUGCUGCCCAUGAAAUGCAAAGGCCUAGCUGUGCGGGCGUUAGAAAUAAAAGAGAGAAGAAACUGUCUCUCAACACACAGACCUGAUUGGAUGCUCUGGAGACCAUCGCCUUACCCAUGAACAGUCACUGGUCAAUUAUAAUCAAAUUAUCCUUGUGACAUUGUGCUGUUGGCCAAAGUACCGCCUCAAAUAAACAGGCUGAAAUUCCAGAAAUGUUUAACACCUCUUUCAAGGAAAAGGU